CUUAGCGGCGGACGGGUGAGUAACGCGUGGGUAACCUGCCUUGCACUGGGGGAUAACAGUUAGAAAUGACUGCUAAUACCGCAUAAGCGCACAGGGCCGCAUGGCCUGGUGUGAAAAACUCCGGUGGUGUAAGAUGGACCCGCGUCUGAUUAGGUAGUUGGUGGGGUAACGGCCCACCAAGCCGACGAUCAGUAGCCGACCUGAGAGGGUGACCGGCCACAUUGGGACUGAGACACGGCCCAA
rnacentral:rRNA from 1 species